rnacentral:tRNA from 1 species
GCGCGAGUGGCGAAAUGGCAGACGCGCUGGCUUCAGGUGCCAGUGUUCGUAAGGACGUGGGGGUUCGAGUCCCCCCUCGCGCAC